UAGGAUUCAAUUAGCUCUACAUUUCAUUCAAUUGAUUAUUAUUUUUCGCCUUUUGCUUCAUCAUCCUUUUGCUUAUAGCUUUAAUUGCUUGUAUGUUUUUGUGCUUUAUUACUAUGAUUUUUCUUUUUAUUUAGGGAUUUCUGAUUGAUUAGUUAUGUAAAUCAUGCAAUCACUUCUGGUUUCCUUCUCUUUUGCCCUUGAUUCAUGAACUUGUCAACUGGCUUAGGCAGCGUCCAUUUUGUAUGUAUGUGAAUUCUCUGUCCUUGAUUUUUUUUCUUGUGAGUUGUAAGAGAGGUAAACCUCAAAUCUUUGAUCAUAAUUGGGUUGGCGAACGUUAAUCGGGAAUCUUAGUGACUCAACAUAGCUACUUAUAUAUUGCUGCCAGUUUUUGUCAUGAUGGAGCAGCUGUUGAGAAUUAGUUUAUUCAGGAUAAUUCCAUCUUACUCUCAUGGCCGUUACUAGCAUGUUCUGUUAUUAGGUUUGACAUGGUUGUUCUCUGGUGUUUCAGUACCUAGGCUUUUGCGUCGUUUUGUGUUGUAA